UACGUAGGUGGCAAGCGUUGUCCGGAUUUACUGGGCGUAAAGAGCGCGCAGGCGGUCGGAUUAGUCGCGUGUGAAAGCCCCCGGCUCAACUGGGGAGGGUCACGCGAUACUGUUCGACUCGAAGGCAGGAGAGGGAAGUGGAAUUCCCGGUGUAGUGGUGAAAUGCGUAGAUAUCGGGAGGAACACCUGUGGCGAAAGCGGCGCACUGGACCACAACUGACGCUGAGGCGCGAAAGCUAGGGGAGCAAACAGG
rnacentral:rRNA from 1 species